AUCGGAUCGAUGGCGGAGUCUCCCUAAGCAGGAACCUCUGGGUGGCACCAGGGCAGGUCCGCGCCGGGAGGGGCGCGCUACUCUGUAUCACCGGGCAGGAGAUAGCCCUGAGCCAAAGGGGGCAUCGGGGCUCACAACAACUCUGGAAGGUGGUUUUGAAGUCAUGAGCUUAACUGGUUCUGCCACCAAUCCUCCUGGGUACUAAGAUUACAAUCACGUCACGUGCUGGCAUGAAAUCAUUUCAGAAGAAGGGCAAAAGAUCACCACAGCCCAGGAUAAGGAACAACACCAUAAUCGUCAUGUUAUCAAAAUGUGAAACAAAAUUAUAGUGAAAGUCAGGCGCUGGGAACCCCAGAGACACAGCUGUGCAGGAAGCUUGCAGGCCUGGGCAAUGCUGGGAGCCUCAAAACUGAAAAUCCCCAACAGAGCAGCAAGAUACCAUACUGUGGAGUACAAAUCAGACAGCGCUGGACAUGGCACAGCAGGUGAAAGGCUGAAGAGAUGGCUCAGCAUAAGAGCACUGACUGCUCUUCCAGAGGUCCUGAGUUCAAAUCCCAGCAACCACAUAGUGUCUCUGUAAUGAGAUCUGCUGCCCUCUUCUGGUGUGUCUGAGGACAGUGACAGUGUAUCCACAUACAUGAAAUAAAUAAAUCUUUUAAAAAAGAAAAAAAAA
rnacentral:lncRNA from 1 species